ACACCGUUGGUGAAGUGGUUAUCAUGCUUGCCUUCCAUUACUGUACGCCUAUUGAAAGCAAGCGGCUCGGGUUCGAUUCCCGAACGGUGUA